rnacentral:rRNA from 1 species
GAUGAACGCUGGCGGCGUGCCUAAUACAUGCAAGUCGAGCGAACGGACGAGAAGCUUGCUUCUCUGAUGUUAGCGGCGGACGGGUGAGUAACACGUGGAUAACCUACCUAUAAGACUGGGAUAACUUCGGGAAACCGGAGCUAAUACCGGAUAAUAUUUUGAACCGCAUGGUUCAAAAGUGAAAGACGGUCUUGCUGUCACUUAUAGAUGGAUCCGCGCUGCAUUAGCUAGUUGGUAAGGUAACGGCUUACCAAGGCAACGAUGCAUAGCCGACCUGAGAGGGUGAUCGGCCACACUGGAACUGAGACACGGUCCAGACUCCUACGGGAGGCAGCAGUAGGGAAUCUUCCGCAAUGGGCGAAAGCCUGACGGAGCAACGCCGCGUGAGUGAUGAAGGUCUUCGGAUCGUAAAACUCUGUUAUUAGGGAAGAACAUAUGUGUAAGUAACUGUGCACAUCUUGACGGUACCUAAUCAGAAAGCCACGGCUAACUACGUGCCAGCAGCCGCGGUAAUACGUAGGUGGCAAGCGUUAUCCGGAAUUAUUGGGCGUAAAGCGCGCGUAGGCGGUUUUUUAAGUCUGAUGUGAAAGCCCACGGCUCAACCGUGGAGGGUCAUUGGAAACUGGAAAACUUGAGUGCAGAAGAGGAAAGUGGAAUUCCAUGUGUAGCGGUGAAAUGCGCAGAGAUAUGGAGGAACACCAGUGGCGAGGGCGACUUUCUGGUCUGUAACUGACGCUGAUGUGCGAAAGCGUGGGGAUCAAACAGGAUUAGAUACCCUGGUAGUCCCCGCCGUAAACGAUGAGUGCUAAGUGUUAGGGGGUUUCCGCCCCUUAGUGCUGCAGCUAACGCAUUAAGCACUCCGCCUGGGGAGUACGACCGCAAGGUUGAAACUCAAAGGAAUUGACGGGGACCCGCACAAGCGGUGGAGCAUGUGGUUUAAUUCGAAGCAACGCGAAGAACCUUACCAAAUCUUGACAUCCUUUGACAACUCUAGAGAUAGAGCUUUCCCCUUCGGGGGACAAAGUGACAGGUGGUGCAUGGUUGUCGUCAGCUCGUGUCGUGAGAUGUUGGGUUAAGUCCCGCAACGAGCGCAACCCUUAAGCUUAGUUGCCAUCAUUAAGUUGGGCACUCUAAGUUGACUGCCGGUGACAAACCGGAGGAAGGUGGGGAUGACGUCAAAUCAUCAUGCCCCUUAUGAUUUGGGCUACACACGUGCUACAAUGGACAAUACAAAGGGCAGCGAAACCGCGAGGUCAAGCAAAUCCCAUAAAGUUGUUCUCAGUUCGGAUUGUAGUCUGCAACUCGACUACAUGAAGCUGGAAUCGCUAGUAAUCGUAGAUCAGCAUGCUACGGUGAAUACGUUCCCGGGUCU